rnacentral:tRNA from 1 species
GGAGAGAUGGCUCAGUGAGUAAGAGCACUGGCUGCUUCCUGAGAACCUGGGUUCAAGUCCCAGCAUCUGCA